AACCCCGGAAGGGCAUUGGAAACUGGUUAACUUGAGUGCAGAAGAGGAAAGUGGAACUCCAUGUGUAGCGGUGGAAUGCGUAGAUAUAUGGAAGAACCCCAGUGGCGAAGGCGGCUUUCUGGUCUGUAACUGACCCUGAGGCUCGAAAGCUUGGGGAGCCAACCGGAUUAGAUACCCCGGUAGUCCCACCCGUAAACGAUGAUCACUAAGUGUUGGGGGGAUUGCGCCUUUUAGUGCCGCAGCUAACGCAUUAAGUAUUCCGCCUGGGGAGUACGACCGCCAAGGUGAAAC
rnacentral:rRNA from 1 species